rnacentral:rRNA from 1 species
GACGAACGCUGGCGGCGUGCUUAACACAUGCAAGUCGAACGGAAAGGCCCUGCUUUUGUGGGGUGCUCGAGUGGCGAACGGGUGAGUAACACGUGAGUAACCUGCCCUUGUAUUUGGGAUAACUUCAGGAAACUGGGGCUAAUACCGGAUAGGAGCUCCUGCUGCAUGGUGGGGGUUGGAAAGUUUCGGCGGUUGGGGAUGGACUCGCGGCUUAUCAGCUUGUUGGUGGGGUAGUGGCUUACCAAGGCUUCGACGGGUAGCCGGCCUGAGAGGGUGACCAGCCACAUUGGGACUGAGAUACGGCCCAGACUCCUACGGGAGGCAGCAGUGGGGAAUAUUGCACAAUGGGCGGAAGCCUGAUGCAGCAACGCCGCGUUCGGGAUGACGGCCUUCGGGUUGUAAACCGCUUUCGCCGGUGACGAAGCGUGAGUGACGGUAAUGGGUAAAGAAGCACCGGCUAACUACGUG